rnacentral:rRNA from 1 species
AUGGAUCAAUGCCCUCGUAGGCAGGCAGCUAGCCGGGGAGCAUUGGUUCCCGCUCCUGCACCUGCCGCCAAGAAGGUAAAGAAGACUACCUCUAAGGGUAGCAAGCCGGACAUGGUGCAUCGGCAGUCUUCUCGCCUUUUCGGGGCUAAGACCUCUCCCGCCAAGCGUCUGGCAGCCACGGGAGUCGACUCCAGCUCCUCUGACUCGAGCUCCUCGCAUAGUUCGUCCUCAUCGAAGCCCCCUGCAUCUCAGCAGGGCUCGAAGUUGCCGGGAAGUUCGGUUCCCCCGACCCUGAAGAGGAGUAGAGGACCUUUACCACCCAUGGAGUUCGAGUUGAGCUCCAUGCUUAUUGACGAAGAGUAA